rnacentral:tRNA from 1 species
GUUAACUAAAAAUAGUAAUUAUAUUCAAUAAAA